AUGCAUUUGCAAACAUAGUUCUUGCUUAGAUUGUUCCAGUGAGAGAACAGCUAAGUCCUAUACUGCCUAGCUAUCAAAGAUGUAAGAUACAUCUCCACAGAAGCUUAAAACCAAGUCAGCUGCCAAGCAAACUCCUGAGCAAGUGAACAGGACAGGCAAACAGUGGAAUUUUGGAAGGAGUAGCAGCAGGAGAACCUGUGCUUGAAGAUAGAGGGACUUGGCUUUUUCAGAAAUGUAAAGGCAUAGGCUCACAAAAUGCUUAGGGAAGAAGAUGAUGAUCUCUCUGUGAUGGGGUGUGCUCCCCAGACCAGCCCUAAGAGAGCUGAAUUAAGCAAGCUGCAACCUUGUCUGUGGGUGCUUCCUCCACAUCAGCACAAAGGCUGUCCCAGAUUAGAAGGCGAAAAAAAGCGGACCAGAGAAGACAUGUUCUGUGAUUUUGUGUGUUCCUCCGAGACUGACAGGGCCCAGUUGAAUGCAUGGAGGCUUACACUGUCGGAGAGCAUGCUCACCAACCAAGAGGGCAGGAAAGCAUGCAGGGAUCAAGAGCGUAACACGCAAGAGGAGAUGUUGUGGCUUAUGUGGGAGCAAACAGACAUGUUGAGAUUUAUGGUUGAGGUGCAGGAAAGGCAGCUAGACCUUAGAGUCCCACUGCACCCAAUGAUGAACCAGCUGCCCUCCUCACCAAGUUCCAUAUUCUCCUCUCCCAGAUGUCCUAGAAUGCGGGGGCGGGGGGAGAAGCUCUGGUAUCCCUUGAACUCAACUCCAGAGGAUGGUUCAUGGAGCAGAAGGCUCUCAUUCCCACAGCUGUGAUUGCUAGACAGUGCAAUUGUAAUAAGCUGUGUGUUCUUGUC